rnacentral:rRNA from 1 species
UUGGCCAGUUAGGGCGUAAGCCUGAUCAGCCAUGCCGCGUGUGUGAAGAAGGCCUUAUGGUUGUAAAGCACUUUAAGCGAGGAGGAGGCUACUUUAGUUAAUACCUAGAGAUAGUGGACGUUACUCGCAGAAUAAGCACCGGCUAACUCUGUGCCAGCAGCCGCGGUAAAA